rnacentral:rRNA from 1 species
GGGUGCGAUCAUACCAGCGUUAAUGCACCAGAUCCCCCCAGAACUCCGCAGUUAAGCGCGCUUGGGCUUGAGUAGUACUGGGAUGGGUGACCUCCUGGGAGGUGCUGGUGUUGCACCCU